rnacentral:misc_RNA from 1 species
UCCGGCUUAACGCCGGCAGUCCCCCUAGAGUGCCCAACUGAAUGGUGGCAACUAAGGACAGGGGUUGCGCUCGUUGCGCCACUUAAGGCAACACCUCACGGCACGAGCUGACGACAGCCAUGCACCACCUGUGCAGGCUCCGAAGAGCGCCCGCUUUCACGGGUUCCACCCUGCAUGUCAAACCCAGGUAAGGUUCUUCGCGUCGCAUCGAAUUAAACCACAUGCUCCACCGCUUGUGCAGGCCCCCGUCAAUUUCUUUGAGUUUUAGCCUUGCGACCGUACUCCCCAGGCGGAAUGCUUAAAGCGUUAGCUGCGCCACUAGUGAGUAAACCCACUAACGGCUGGCAUUCAUCGUUUACGGCGUGGACUAC